UCUGUUUUCGGGCUUUUCGGGCCCAAAAUUGAGUUUUCCAUCUCUCAGUCCAGUAAUAUGCAAAAUAUCACAAAAUUCGGUAGGAGGCGAGGUUUGAACCCCCGACCUCCUACACGAAAGGUUUACUCCCAACCACCGGAGCAGGAGACUCUCUUGAUACUAUAUGUGCAAAAUUUAUAUUUAUUCCAUCCUUGGAAACUUUUCUUGGUGGUGGAGACAACUUUUCUUGGUGGGAGACAACUUUUGUCCUUUCUUUUCUUUUCUUUUUCUCCUUUGCACCCGGUCCUUUCUCUUAUUCUUGGUAGCUGCAGCAGCUUUUCUUUUCUUUAAUGCUUGGGAAAAUGGGAAGUGAGGCAGCAACAACGUGGAGACAGAGAUGAGAUCGGGUUUCGAUGUGGGCAAAACGGCGAGCCUUCUCAUUUUCAGCUUCAAUACUCCUCGUUGUGGCGAUGAGCUAGGGAGCUGCCUUAGGCCGAUUUGUAACGAGUUGGUGAUUUGCCCUGGAUGGGUUGCUAAAUAUGCAGGUCCAGUCGACGAUCUGAGGUGGCUUCUUUGAGCGGGAGGAGGAGGAUUCUAGAAAUCCAAGAGGUCAGCUUUGGUCUAUGGAGGUUUAGGAGGAGGAGGAGCUGGCUUGGGAGGAGAGUGAGAGAGGCUGAGAUGGUUUCGCUAAGAUGGAGGAGAAAUCGGGUCGGGUCGGGCUUUCGGUCUCCAAAUAUUUGAAGCCCGAGACCGAACCGAAAAUAUACAUUCGGGUCGGGCUUCGCACCGAAUCGAGAUUUUCCAUACUAAAACCAAACCGAAUCGGGCUUUUUUGCUCGGUUCGGGUCGGGUCUUCGGUCUUUGGGGUCCGGACGCCCACCCCUAGCCAAGACUCUGGCACUCUUUAAUCUCAAUCAAAUCUUUUUUCUUUUUUUUUCCUUCUUGGUUUUUUUUCUGUUUCUACUCACCAUUAAUUCAAGCUUCCGAACUAUGUCUUCAAGGGCUUCAAUUCAUCAUCAUAAGCAACCGAACCCAGCCUUUAAACUUUGAAGGCGAAAUUUGACGGAAUCGAACAUAUUUUGUAUUACCAAUUGAUACUUGGAAACUAGAAAGAUGACUGAAAUGAUUGAAUUUCUUAAUUCUUUCUUUUUACAAUCCCUGAACAACUAUUGAGUUCCUGACCAGCCCAAUGCUUAUAAAUUCAAAACUGACUAAAAUAGAGAAGUGGCUAGCCAAAAUAGCUUUUCAGCUACUUUAGCUAAAAUUUGACAAAAAAAAAAAAACUAGCAUUGCUUUAUGUGGU